rnacentral:rRNA from 1 species
UAUGUGAUCGUCUCUCGCAUAUCAAUAAGCGGAGGAAAAGAAACUAACCAGGAUUCCCCUAGUAACGGCGAGUGAAGCGGGAAGAGCUCAAAUUUGAAAUCUUAAAGGGUUUCCCUUUACGAAUUGUAGUUUAAAGAAGUGUUCUCUGUUGAGGUUUUGGUAAAAGUUCUUUGGAAUAGGACAUCAUAGAGGGUGAGAAUCCCGUAUUUGACCUUUACUUUCAACUUUGUGAUACACUUUCAAAGAGUCGGAUUGUUUGGGAAUGCAGUCCAAAAUGGGUGGUAAAUUUCAUCUAAAGCUAAAUAUUGGCGAGAGACCGAUAGCGAACAAGUACCGUGAGGGAAAGAUGAAAAGAACUUUGAAAAGAGAGUUAAACAGUACGUGAAAUUGUCAAAAGGGAAGCGUUUGACACCAGUGUUGUUUUUCUGAAAAUCAAUUAAAGAACUGUUUAUGCUAAGUUGUUUAGACUUUAUCAGCUAAUCUGCUUAGUUUUGAGCUUUUCUUUAAUGCACUUUUCAGUUAACAAGUCAACAUCAAUUUCUUUUGCUGUAAAAAAGCUUGAGGAAGGUGGCUUGAGAUUCGUCUUAAGUGUUUAUAGCCUCUUGCCUAUGCAGUCGGAGAGAUUGAGGUCUGCAGCGUAGAUCCUUCGGGGCUAAAUGCAUUUGUGCUAAGUUAUAACAUUUUAUAGACAACUUGUUGACUAUGAUUUGUCUUGUAGCUUACUCGCUUAUGUUAUUUUACCUACGCUUAGGAUGUUGAAGUCAUCGUAUCGCGC